rnacentral:tRNA from 1 species
GAGGGUUCGAUUCCNUGGUAAAACCUCAGCCUUCCAAGCUGAUGACGAGGGUUCGAUUCCCUUCACCCGCUCCA